CAACCUGCCGACAACACUGGGAUAGCCUUUCGAAAGAAAGAUUAAUACCGGAUGGCAUAGUUUUCCCGCAUGGGAUAAUUAUUAAAGAAUUCCGGUUGUCGAUGGGGAUGCGUUCCAUUAGGCAGUUGGCGGGGUAACGGCCCACCAAACCAACGAUGGAUAGGGGUUCUGAGAGGAAGGUCCCCCACAUUGGAACUGAGACACGGUCCAAACUCCUACGGGAGGCAGCAGUGAGGAAUAUUGGUCAAUGGACGAGAGUCUGAACCAGCCAAGUAGCGUGAAGGAUGACUGCCCUAUGGGUUGUAAACUUCUUUUAUACGGGAAUAAAGUUAGCCACGUGUGGCUUUUUGUAUGUACCGUAUGAAUAAGGAUCGGCUAACUCCGUGCCAGCAGCCGCGGUAAUACGGAGGAUCCGAGCGUUAUCCGGAUUUAUUGGGUUUAAAGGGAGCGUAGGCGGGUUGUUAAGUCAGCUGUGAAAGUUUGCGGCUCAACCGUAAAAUUGCAGUUGAUACUGGCGACCUUGAGUGCAACAGAGGUAGGCGGAAUUCGUGGUGUAGCGGUGAAAUGCUUAGAUAUCACGAAGAACUCCGAUUG
rnacentral:rRNA from 1 species